rnacentral:rRNA from 1 species
UCAACCUGAGAGUUUGAUCCUGGCUCAGAGCGAACGCUGGCGGCAGGCCUAACACAUGCAAGUCGAACGGACCCUUCGGGGUUAGUGGCGGACGGGUGAGUAACACGUGGGAA